CACAAGUCCUUUCUUCGCAGAAUUCUUGCAAAAAAAAAAAAAAAAAAAGGAAAAGCUAUGAGGGCGCAGCGUAGAUGCCGCUUUUGCAGUUGAGUUCUACGGCCAGGCGGACAUCCUCUGGAAGAGAGCAUCUACUUCGUUUGACAUGACACGUUCGGGUGCCACUACAGAUGCAUUCACAAUAGGGCAAAAACAAAAGGCACUACGCUUCCGGGGAAAUCUGAUAAAAAAUUCCGCAGCGGCGGCUAGGCGCCCUUAUCUCUCUUCACCCUGGUUAUGACGCCGCACAUGACUUCACUAUCACGUGGCGUUCACAAUCUCUAGUGGUAGGCACACACAGAGGAGUAAUGCACGACCUGAGCCGGCGUGUGACCCGGAGGUGCUGAACAAGAGGAAACGGAUCACCCGAAAGGCUCGAGUGAUGUCGUCCUGUGUUUUCAUUUCAGUUCUGUUCACGCUGUUCCAGUUGAUGUGGAACGAAAGGCUAUGGUAGCGAAACAAACGGGUGUUUAUACAGUGACCCAUCCGUGCUAGU